ACACUGAAACACUGGUUCCCGUACGGUCACCUAAGUUAAGUAACAUCGAGUUUGGUCAGUACCUAGAUGAGUGAUCACUUGGGAAUACUAGAUGCUGUAAG